GAUGAACGCUGGCGGCGUGCUUAACACAUGCAAGUCGAACGGAAAGGCUCCUGCUUGCAGGGGUACUCGAGUGGCGAACGGGUGAGUAACACGUGGGUGAUCUGCCCUGCACUUCGGGAUAAGCCUGGGAAACUGGGUCUAAUACCGGAUAGGACGAUGGUUUGGAUGCCAUUGUGGAAAGUUUUUCGGUGUGGGAUGAGCUCGCGGCCUAUCAGCUUGUUGGUGGGGUAAUGGCCUACCAAGGCGUCGACGGGUAGCCGGCCUGAGAGGGUGUACGGCCACAUUGGGACUGAGAUACGGCCCAGACUCCUACGGGAGGCAGCAGUGGGGAAUAUUGCACAAUGGGCGCAAGCCUGAUGCAGCGACGCCGCGUGGGGGAUGACGGCCUUCGGGUUGUAAACUCCUUUCGCUAGGGACGAAGCGCAAGUAACGGUACCUGGAGAAGAAGCACCGGCUAACUACGUG
rnacentral:rRNA from 1 species